rnacentral:lncRNA from 7 species
CCAGUUCUAUAAAAUAUUGGUGCACGAGAUGAAACCAUUUCAUCUCCAAACAAUCAUGAUAAUAAUAAAAACAUUCCUUCCAGGAUGCAUCAGGAGAAGAUACUUCAGUGCCUUCCUUUGCAGGCAAUGCCAGGGGAAGGCAUCUUGGUGCCCAGCAGUGCAAGGAGCUCUGUGGUAGCAGGACUCUGGGAUCCCUGGGGUAAGACAACGAUAUCCCCCAUGUACCACCUCCAGGGUGAGAACAUGAGCAGCAGAGAGGCCAACUGAGAUGUUGGGAACAAGCACAUGCCACUGUGGUUAAUGGCUUAUUGAUGGGCUUACAGCUUUUCCUUCCAUCAUUACCAUGCAAGGUCUGGGUUUAGAUUUUUACUAAUUUGUUUGUUCCUAGCUGUUCAAUAGAUCUUUUCAGCAAACAUGCUUCAAUCUUUGGGUUAUUCACAAACACGCUUGCUAAAUGUAUUACUGUCCACUUAAUGAAUUCCAGUUGUUCAUUAGCACACCUAUCAUGUGGUAUUACUUCUGCUUUCUGAAUGGAUGUGAUAAAAUAGAUGCAUUAAAUAAAAAGUAAAUUAAAAAAAAAAAAGGCAGGUGGGGAAAAAUGAAGUUUCAGUGAUGUUUUCAGGAGGAAGGUGUGAAAAACAGGUGGACUCUAUGCUGAGGAAGUCAGUGGUUUCCUGUGGAAAGGCAGAGCAGCGGACACUGAUGAAGCAGCAGCAAAGCAUGGACCGAAACCAUAACCCUGCACUGGGAUGAGUCAGAAAGAGGAGAAAGGCUGCACUGCAGCAUCCCUAAUGAAGGCUCUAGCUGCUCUGCACAGCCUGUUUUGACCCACACUGUCAUCCUCCCUGUGUAAACCUUAGUUGCAGCGUAAGCUUGUAUCUCCAGCAGAGUGGAACUGAAUGCACACCUCCUAUUUCCCCAAGGAGCUUUUAGGAUCUCCAAGUGAUCUCCCACCUGCACCCAAGAGUUGGGCACCAUCUGCGUACUUUGAAUCUGUUCCCCACAGUCCUGAUGUGAAAGCUGCCCCAUCAGUGGGCCCUGUGUAACGAGCUCUGCACAACGAGGCAUGGGCCUUGGCUCAGAAACCUGGAUUAAGGCAUCUCAGUAAUAAAAAAAAAAAGCCAAACACGUUUACUUUUCAUUGUUAGGAAGGAGAGCAUCGUUCAGAUUAGCAUUCAGGCCUGGUGUAAGUGAAGGGAGAAUAAUUGCAGAUAGUUAAUCUAUUCAAACUUAAUUCCUCUUCCUAAUUACUCACAAAUAAUAUAAUCUAUAUAAAUCUCACUUGAAGAGGCAAAGGGGAUAUUACUUUUAAUGGUCUGACACAGAGGAGGACUGGGCUGGUAACAAACUCUUCAGCCCUCGCCUUGCCCCAGGCACCAGCUGCAAGCUCUCCCAGCUGCAUAGCAUCAGCAAAACCUUGUGGAUUAGAUGAGGAACUCCCAUGCACCCACUUCAGACUUAAGCCAGCUAGUUCUGUAGUAAUUAAAACCAAUUUGG